rnacentral:lncRNA from 1 species
GACCUUAUAAUUAUAUCUUUGAGUGAAGUAAUGAAGUGUAAUUCAUCACUCUAGUCUCUAGGCAUUCCAUUAUUUCAAGGGAUAAAUAAAUGAAGUUGAAUCAACUUACUAGUGAAAAGCGGCGAAUAGUCGUCGCUUAAGUUGAUACUGCACCUGUGUCGACGCAACAUGUGUGUGGGAUCAUACCUGAUUUGGUCAAUGGAAUUCAGGUACUUUAACCAAAAUCCAUAUAAAAAUUCGAAACAGAUAAAAUGAAUUCUAUAACAAACACAAAAGCUAGGGUAAAAUCGACAAAAACAGAAUGGAUUGUAUAUAGAAUUUCUCUGUCUAACCUUCUUCAAUCGCGUUUCUAUUGAUUAGCGUACGAGCUUGCACCGUUAAAGAAAAAAGAAGAAAGGAACCUUUUUACUCCAAUCUACAUUGAUGUGGCCAUAAUCUUUGUUUGAUAAUGAUGAAACUCAAGAGGUAAGGUUUACAUUAAAUAAACCCUCUCAAUAUCACAAGAUUUUCUAUUAUUCCAAAAAAUAAAAUUGGUGACUAAAUUGCAAUUUAAUUCUCCCUCGGUUCAAAAAGGUUAUGUUCCUUGAGGGCAAAAAUUAAAUAUCAACACAAAAUAGGGACGAAAGUGCAAUGACCUAUCAAUUUAUUAUCGCAACCCACUUUGAACUAUUCAAAUCUAACUCAAUCCGCUCAUUUGACACCCUAUUAAUAUCAUUUUACUUUGUUGUAACUUAUAAUUUUAGUUCCUCCCACCUUAUUAUAAUCAUUAGAAAGGGUUAGUUGGGACGUGAAGUUUCAAGAGUGUUAUUUGAUUAAUUAAUGUCUUCUUUCUUCUGAUGGACAGUUUCUACUUAAUUUAAGCACCAAUUAUUGUUUAUUUGUUCUAAUUGGAGUAAUUAAUUAACUGGCAUCUUUAGAGUGAACUGUUAAUGGAGAAGUGAGGUCCGACUCGUUCUCAUAGCCAUAUAAGUAAUAAAGAGUUGAUUCUCCAAUUUAUAAAAGAAAAAAAAAACUAAAGGAAAAAAAGACUGUUGAUGGAGAGUCGCAUUAACCACUGAAUAAAACAUGAUAAAUGACUAAUUAAAUGACAUUAAUAACAAAGAGAUUACGCCCAACAUCACCCAAUUGUUGGUUACAGAAUGGCUAGUGAGGGCUCGUUGACCUUCCCUCCGGGAGUAUUGUUCUUUUGUAACUUUCUCAAACAAGUUGGUGUAUGGUCUGCCAUUGAGCUCUUUCCAGCUGUUCAUUGAGCCACGUCCAUCAUCUUUCCGUAUGUCACGAUCUGAUAUGCCCACGUGAAAUUGGCUAUUUUUACCCUAUACUGAAAGUCCCCACGUUUUAGGGACUUAAACUUUAUCUUUCAGGUAAUGAAGAAGUGAGGAUAGCCAAUGACCAUAUAAAAGAUCCAAUUUCUCUUCCCAGAGCCAACGUGGAACUCAACACCCCAGAACAUCCAGGAUUGGACAUUUGGAGUAUGGAUAACAUAUGAUGUGCGCCAAACAUAAGGCAAAUAAUGAAUUGAGAAGGGCCUAGACCUUGGGUCUAACUUGACUAGGCAGCUACUUCAAGAGGUAGAAAAUGAAGAAUCUGCAGCUGGAAACACUCCGUCACAUGAUAGGAACAUACCUACCUGGAAGAAGUUGGGACGUGCAGUUUUAAGAGUGGUAUUCUAUUAAUUAAUGUCUUCUUUCUUCUCAUGAGCAGUUUUUACUUAAUUUUAUUUUUAAAAAAAACAAUUAUCGUUUAUUUGUUCUGAUUGGAGUAACGGGCAUCUUUAGAGUUGACAAUAAAUGGACACACACUAUUAGGUGACACGUGGGGAUUGAAGCCAGGUCAAACAUGACUCAGCAAAGAUAAUACCUGUCUCAACAUUAGAGCUCGUACAGUAAAGUGGUUCCCGUCCUUCCAGGGGCAGAACCAACAUUAUUGGCAGUUUGGCAUGCCAAGCUUCAGAGAUGCAAAACCGGGUACAUAUAUAGCAGUGGCCGGUCGAUAUAAGCCCGAAAGUGCAUCUGUUGGGGAUCCACUUCGGCAGUUACUUAGUCAAAACAUAACUGCUGUAGUGUGUAGAUAUGUGGCAUGAAGAGGAGCGAAGAUACGGAAAAAUGUUAUCUGCAAUUUGGCUUUAAAUAGACCUCUUU